rnacentral:lncRNA from 1 species
AUGAUCCGUCACACAUACCUAACCGACGCUCAAUCCAAAUCUGCCGACCUCGCUGCCAUAAUCCCAGCCGCAUCAACACCGCCAUACCGGAGCAAAUAACCACCAUGUGCGCCGCCGUGACUGUUUCCGAACAAACACUCGCCUGACAAGUCCCGGUGGUUCUUCUCCGUCACGUUUCCAACCCUAAUUUGCAGGUGGUUUAAUUUUGGAUUAGGUAUGCUUCAAGAUUUUCCAAAGUGGAGGUCAUGGGUUGGAUUCUCACCUAGAGCAAAAAUUAAAAACAAUUUGAGUUAAGUUAGGGGGCCUUUAGGCAGUGGGUUUCCUAUGAAAUGGUGGAGGGCCAUGUCACUAGCGUCGUCUACGUUCACAGGCGUGUGUGACCUUUUGUCAUUGGAUUUACCCGAGUGAUCGGGAUUUUGUUGAUCCUUCCAUAAAAAAUUAUGCUAAUUGCUAAAAUUAUGGUACAUUGUCCUUGACACAUUAAAGAAACAAA